rnacentral:rRNA from 2 species
AAUCCAUAGGUUAAUGAGGCGAACCGGGGGAACUGAAACAUCUAAGUACCCCGAGGAAAAGAAAUCAACCGAGAUUCCCCCAGUAGCGGCGAGCGAACGGGGAGGAGCCCAGAGCCUGAAUCAGCAUAUGUGUUAGUGGAAGCGUCUGGAAAGGCGCGCGAUACAGGGUGACAGCCCCGUACACAAAAGCGCAUGUGCUGUGAGCUCGAUGAGUAGGGCGGGACACGUGGUAUCCUGUCUGAAUAUGGGGGGACCAUCCUCCAAGGCUAAAUACUCCUGACUGACCGAUAGUGAACCAGUACCGUGAGGGAAAGGCGAAAAGA